rnacentral:rRNA from 1 species
GACGAACGCUGGCGGCGCGCCUAACACAUGCAAGUCGAACGGAGCUGAGAGAAGCUUGCUUUUCUUAGCUUAGUGGCGAACGGGUGAGUAACGCGUGAGUAACCUGCCCUUGAGUGGGGGACAACAGUUGGAAACGACUGCUAAUACCGCAUAAGCCCACGAUCCGGCAUCGGAUUGAGGGAAAAGGAUUUAUUCGCUUCAGGAUGGACUCGCGUCCAAUUAGCUAGUUGGUGAGGUAACGGCCCACCAAGGCGACGAUUGGUAGCCGGACUGAGAGGUUGAACGGCGACAUUGGGACUGAGACACGGCACAGACUCCUACGGGAGGCAGCAGUGGGGGAUAUUGCAAAAUGGGGGAAACCCUGAUGCAGCGACGCCGCGUGGAGGAAGAAGGUUUUCGGAUUGUAAACUCCUGUCGUUAGGGACGAUAAUGACGGUACCUAACAAGAAAGCACCGGCUAACUACGUG